CACCUGCCGGCGACCGGCGCACGGGUGAGUAACACGUAUGCAACCUGCCCGUAGCAGGGGGAUAAGCGGAAGAAAUUCCGUCUAAUACCGCGUAACAACCCGAGGAGGCAUCUCCUCGGGUUUAAAGGAAGCGAUUCCGGCUACGGAUGGUCAUGCGUCGCAUUAGCUAGUUGGCGGGGUAACGGCCCACCAAGGCGACGAUGCGUAGGGGUUCUGAGAGGAAGGUCCCCCACACUGGUACUGAGACACGGACCAGACUCCUACGGGAGGCAGCAG
rnacentral:rRNA from 1 species